rnacentral:rRNA from 1 species
GUGGGGAAUAUUGGACAAUGGGGGGAACCCUGAUCCAGCCAUGCCGCGUGUGUGAAGAAGGCCUUUUGGUUGUAAAGCACUUUAAGCGAGGAGGAGGCUACCGAGAUUAAUACUCUUGGAUAGUGGACGUUACUCGCAGAAUAAGCACCGGCUAACUCUGUGCCAGCAGCCGCGGUAAUACAGAGGGUGCAAGCGUUAAUCGGAUUUACUGGGCGUAAAGCGUGUGUAGGCGGCUUUUUAAGUCGGAUGUGAAAUCCCUGAGCUUAACUUAGGAAUUGCAUUCGAUACUGGGAAGCUAGAGUAUGGGAGAGGAUGGUAGAAUUCCAGGUGUAGCGGUGAAAUGCGUAGAGAUCUGGAGGAAUACCGAUGGCGAAGGCAGCCAUCUGGCCUAAUACUGACGCUGAGGUACGAAAGCAUGGGGAGCAAACAGGAUUAGAUACCCGGGUAGUCC